GGUGAGUAAUGUCUGGGAAGCUGCCUGAUGGAGGGGGAUAACUACUGGAAACGGUAGCUAAUACCGCAUAAUGUCGCAAGACCAAAGAGGGGGACCUUCGGGCCUCUUGCCAUCGGAUGUGCCCAGAUGGGAUUAGCUUGUUGGUGGGGUAACGGCUCACCAAGGCGACGAUCCCUAGCUGGUCUGAGAGGAUGACCAGCCACACUGGAACUGAGACACGGUCCAGACUCCUACGGGAGGCAGCAGUGGGGAAUAUUGCACAAUGGGCGCAAGCCUGAUGCAGCCAUGCCGCGUGUAUGAAGAAGGCCUUCGGGUUGUAAAGUACUUUCAGCGGGGAGGAAGGGAGUAAAGUUAAUACCUUUGCUCAUUGACGUUACCCGCAGAAGAAGCACCGGCUAACUCCGUGCCAGCAGCCGCGGUAAUACGGAGGGUGCAAGCGUUAAUCGGAAUUACUGGGCGUAAAGCGCACGCAGGCGGUUUGUUAAGUCAGAUGUGAAAUCCCCGGGCUCAACCUGGGAACUGCAUCUGAUACUGGCAAGCUUGAGUCUCGUAGAGGGGGGUAGAAUUCCAGGUGUAGCGGUGAAACGCGUAGAGAUCUGGAGGAAUACCGGUGGCGAAGGCGGCCCCCUGGACGAAGACUGACGCUCAGGUGCGAAAGCGUGGGGAGCAAACAGGAUUAGAUACCCUGGUAGUCCACGCCGUAAACGAUGUCGACUUGGAGGUUGUGCCCUUGAGGCGUGGCUUCCGGAGCUAACGCGUUAAGUCGACCGCCUGGGGAGUACGGCCGCAAGGUUAAAACUCAAAUGAAUUGACGGGGGCCCGCACAAGCGGUGGAGCAUGUGGUUUAAUUCGAUGCAACGCGAAGAACCUUACCUGGUCUUGACAUCCACGGAAGUUUUCAGAGAUGAGAAUGUGCCUUCGGGAACCGUGAGACAGGUGCUGCAUGGCUGUCGUCAGCUCGUGUUGUGAAAUGUUGGGUUAAGUCCCGCAACGAGCGCAACCCUUAUCCUUUGUUGCCAGCGGUCCGGCCGGGAACUCAAAGGAGACUGCCAGUGAUAAACUGGAGGAAGGUGGGGAUGACGUCAAGUCAUCAUGGCCCUUACGACCAGGGCUACACACGUGCUGCAAUGGCGCAUACAAAGAGAAGCGACCUCGCGAGAGCAAGCGGACCUCAUAAAGUGCGUCGUAGUCCGGAUUGGAGUCUGCAACUCGACUCCAUGAAGUCGGAAUCGCUAGUAAUCGUGGAUCAGAAUGCCACGGUGAAUACGUUCCCGGGCCUUGUACACACCGCCCGUCACACCAUGGGAGUGGGUUGCAAAAGAAGUAGGUAGCUUAACCUUCGGGAGGGCGCUUACCACUUUGUGAUUCAUGACUGGGGUG
rnacentral:rRNA from 1 species